AAUAGAUACCCUGGUAGUCCUAGCCGUAAACGAUGAGCACUUGAUUGAGGGCCCCCCCAUAGGCUCUCGAUCGCAGCGAAAGUGUUAAGUGCUCCGCCUGGGGAGUAUGGUCGCAAGGCUGAAACUCAAAGGAAUUGACGGGGGCUCACACAAGCGGUGGAGGAUGUGGCUUAAUUCGAGGCUACGCGAAGAACCUUAUCCAGGCCUUGGCAUGUACGGAUGCUGCCCGUGAAAGCGGGUUAGUUGCCUUCGGGUGAAACGUGCACAGGUGCUGCAUGGCUGUCGUCAGCUCGUGUCGCGAGAUGUCGGGUUAAGUCCCUUAACGAGCGAAACCCUUGUCCUUAGUUGCCAGCGAGUCAUGUCGGGGACUCUAAGGAGACUGCCGGCGUUAAGCCGGAGGAAGGUGGGGAUGACGUCAAGUCCUCAUGGCCUUUAUGGUCUGGGCUGCACACGUCCUACAAUGGCGUAUACAAAGGGAUGCUACCUCGCGAGAGCAAGCAAAUCCCAAAAAGUACGCCCCAGUUCGGAUUG
rnacentral:rRNA from 1 species